GACGAACGCUGGCGGCGUGCUUAACACAUGCAAGUCGAACGGAAAGGCCCUGCUUUUGUGGGGUGCUCGAGUGGCGAACGGGUGAGUAACACGUGAGUAACCUGCCCUUGACUUUGGGAUAACUUCAGGAAACUGGGGCUAAUACCGGAUAGGAGCUCCUGCUGCAUGGUGGGGGUUGGAAAGUUUCGGCGGUUGGGGAUGGACUCGCGGUGUAUUAGCUUGUUGGUAAGGUAGUGGAUUACCCAGGCUAUGACGGAUAGCCGGCCUGAGAGGGUGAACGGCCACACUGGAACUGAGACACGGUACAGACGACUACGGGAGGCAGCAGGAGGGAAUCUGGCGCAAUGGGCGAAAGCCUGACGGAGCAACGCCGCGUGAGUGAUGAAGGUCUCCGGAGCGUAAAACUCUGUUAUUAGGGAAGAACAGAUGUGUAAGUAACGGUGCACAUCUUGACGGGACCGAAUCAGAAAGCCACGGCUAACUACGUG
rnacentral:rRNA from 1 species